AGUGAACGCUGGCGGUAGGCCUAACACAUGCAAGUCGAACGGCAGCACAGAGGAGCUUGCUCCUUGGGUGGCGAGUGGCGGACGGGUGAGGAAUACAUCGGAAUCUACUCUGUCGUGGGGGAUAACGUAGGGAAACUUACGCUAAUACCGCAUACGACCUACGGGUGAAAGCAGGGGAUCUUCGGACCUUGCGCGAUUGAAUGAGCCGAUGUCGGAUUAGCUAGUUGGCGGGGUAAAGGCCCACCAAGGCGACGAUCCGUAGCUGGUCUGAGAGGAUGAUCAGCCACACUGGAACUGAGACACGGUCCAGACUCCUACGGGAGGCAGCAGUGGGGAAUAUUGGACAAUGGGCGCAAGCCCGAUCCAGCCAUACCGCGUGGGUGAAGAAGGCCUUCGGGUUGUAAAGCCCUUUUGUUGGGAAAGAAAUCCAUCUGGUUAAUACCCGGUUGGGAUGACGGUACCCAAAGAAUAAGCACCGGCUAACUUCGUGCCAGCCGCCGCAGUAA
rnacentral:rRNA from 1 species